GUGCUCGCUUCAGCAGCACAUAUACUAAAAUUGGAAUGAUGCAGAAAAGAUUAGUAUGGCCCCUGCACAAAGCUGACAUGCAAAUUCGUGAAGACUUCCAUAUUUUU